UCCGUUCACUAAAUUUUUAGUUCUUCUUUCACUCUAUUCAAAGAACCCUAAGCCCCAAAUUGCAGAAUAAGGAAGGCACAUACUCUGCUAUGACUGCCUUGCAGUCCUCCCUCUCCAAUUGGUGCGCUCUCUCUCUCUCUCUCUGAGUGUGUAAUGUGCUUAAUUGAAUUUCAAUUUUACUUUGAUUUCAACUCAGUUGAUUUCUAAGGUUUGCUCUAUUAUAAAUUGGUAUUUUCUUCAUUUUAGAAUUCAUAAUAGAAGAAAAGACGCCAGAUGUGUAUGCUUUAUUGCAUUGCUUGGUAACUUUUGGGAUAGUGAAGGAUGGGGAUUUUGAUUUGUACAGGAAAUUUAUUUGCAUUUGCUUGGAGAAAACAGAUGCCUAAAUGGGAUGUCUCUGUUGGACAUGGUGAUAAAAUGCCUAGUAAUUUUUUUUGUUAUGUUAUAUUAUUUUGUUCAUAUUGUGGAUGUCUCUCUUGGACACGGUGAUAAAAUGCCUAGUAAUUUUUUUUUUGUUAUGUUAUAUUAUUUUGUUCAUAUUAUUUCUUUGGCUUGAGAAAUUGGAGUCCUUUGCACGCAAAAUGGCCCGGCACCACUGACAUAAAUGAAGAGAGUACUUUGGCUUUCAUAGUCUUAUAAUUUGAUGACAUAUUAAGAGAAAUGCAUAAUGAGGAACUAGUUUUUUGUGGUGUGGUUGGUCUUCUAUUCAGGUGGAAAAGGUUAACAUGUCAUAAGUAAUUUUUUGUGGAAUUUUUACCUCUGCUUGUGACUUUAGAGUAGGCCUGCAGUUGAAAUGUCUAGUUAAUUUGGAAGUUUAGGUGUUUAGUGGCAUUGACUUGAGAGAUCAUUUUACUCUUUACCCUUUUUAUUCAUAUAUGGGAUUGAGAUCGUUAUUUUUUUUUUUGGCAAUCCACUAGGCAAGUGCCUAGGCCUAGUUUUUUAAUCAUAACACAAAAGGAAAAAAUACAAUAAUUAAGGGGGACAAUAGCACCGGUAUUGUUACCCAUAUAACACAAACGGGGUUAACCUUACCGUACUAAUCCUAUUGAGGCUUGCCAACCUCGCCUACUAACAAGCAUGUAAAAAAUAUGAACUUGAAAGGACCAAAUAUUCUAUGAUCAACACAGAGUUUAUAACAUACUCUGUGAUGAGAUUACAUAUGAGAAUACUAAUAAAGUGGUAUAAUAAAAUGUAGUACCAAUUUGAUUGUUGUCCCUUUUUUUCCAACCUUGUAAAGUCUUCAAUUUGUAGUUCUUUGUCGUUUUCAUCCACAAAGUGCUAAAAGUAUUAAAAAAUCAUCGAUUCUUUUUUGAACGGUUGGACUUCGUUGAUGAAGCUGGUGUAGCCUGCUUUUGUUUGGCAGCUCACAUUGGAAGUCGCCUAAUAAUUGCUUCCUUGUCGGACCUUGUUGUAAUUUUCAUCAAGAUAGCACCUUCUUUGCUUGUUCCCAUAUGUUCCUCCACAGAAUUUGGUGGUGUAUCUAGGUAGUGAAUGCAUGUGCGACAAGUAGGCUUACUUGGAAUGAAAUCUGGAGCCUCCAACUUGUUCUUUAAUUUUCCAGUCAAAGUAUUUUUAAAAAAUGGAAUUUGAAGUUCAUCCCUGAUAACUCUUUCCACACGAUGGCUGGCAAAUUGAACCUUUAGUUUAAGACCAUUUUCCUGCUCCCUUUUCAUAUUUGAGCUGUUGAAUUUAUUUGACAAAUUGACCAACGGUUUCAUGGGAUCCUCGAUGAGAUGCAUUUCAACCGCUUCAAUCUGCUUCUGUUGCACCUUCUUCUUCUUCUUCCUCUUUGAAGUCGAUGAAAAUUCAAACUUCUGAUGUUCCUGUUUUGACGCUGUUACUGCAUAUUGAUCAGUCACACAAAUAGCAUUUAAUUUGGACGCAAAAUAUUGCUCAUGUGCAGGCGACUUUGUUCCUGAAGGAGCUGCUUCAUGUCGAUCAGAACUGGCAUUAGGAGUGUUCAUAAUUUGUUGCUUCACUGCAUCCAAAAUUGG
rnacentral:lncRNA from 1 species